CUCUCUCUGCACUUCCCUCCAUUCGCUUCUUCCUCCCUGGCCAGGCUCCUGCUUAGACUUCCGGAGAGGGGAGCAUGAAUGGCGGGCCCCACGCAGUGCAAUAGGGCUGAGGGGAGGGGAGAAGCUUAGCAUUGAUGGAUGCCUUUCCAGAGCACAGCCAGCAAACACUCCUCAUCUAACCCUAGCGGACAGAAGAGCUUGCUAACUGAUGGAAAGUACUCUCUGCAGCCUGGAUGUCUGGGGCCUCAACUUGGCCACUGGCUUUGCCUGGGACUCCUGUAUCCUAUGGGAAGAUGGAAUGGGACACCAGCACACAGCAGCAACUGAAGGACAAGAGCAAAGCCCAGGAUCAGAGAAGGUGGGUUCGGCCCAAGAAUUUCUAGACGGGGCAAUUACUUAAAUAAGCAACUCAGGGUAUCCCCCCCUCUCCCGCCACAACUAAGGAUAGAAGCACCUUCAAACAAACUGUCUAGAACAAGCGAUUCGGUCUACAUGCUGAGUCUGCAUGGUGAGUCACGAUAGGCUAGGAAGUGAGAGAAGCAGUCUCUUUCCUGUGGGAGCUGAUGCUUAGACACUGGACUUUCUACUUCAUGACCAGGAGAUUCCAGGACAAACUGGGUAAGUAUACAGGUGCCUUGUGAUGCAGAGAGCAUGGGAGGCUUCAAGGAAAGAAGAGGGAGAGGUUCUUCCCUGCUCCCACCCCACCUCCACCCUGCCCACAGCACCUAUCUACCGACAACCAGACAAGCCGAGGCGGGGGGGGGGGGGGGUUACCCUAGAAGCCUUGGGUGGCUAUCUCAUCGGGAUUUCCGUUCCCAGGGUAGCGCCCUUCCCCCAUCCUAUGGCUGGCUUUUCUCAGGGAAGUCCCUGCCUACCUUCUUAAGCUGUCACUCAAAGGCAAACCACCGAGGUUCCCUAAUGGGAUCAAACCCAAGGGGAGGGUGGGGGAAACCCUGAGAGCCCGGGCCAGAAGCCUGGUACUUACCCUGUCAGAGGUCUGCUCUUCUUAAUUUCAAAGAACUGUGUCCCUGUGUGAUUGUACCUGGAGAUAGUAGUUAAGGGCUUCCUGGCUUGGUCGGGAAGGCUGUGUCUUUCUCUUGGCUGCCACCCCAGAGGCCAGGAUAGCUACAGAGGGACCCCUUUGCAACGUGUGCCACGGAGCACCAUACGGGCCGCUUAGGACUUGUUCUCUGGGAAGAGGAACUAGGGUCCAGCUUGGGGGCUCUCCUUGCUCUCGCGGUUCUUCUCCCCACUCUUUGCAGUCUCCCCCAUUCUCUCCUUCCCUCCUGUCUCAGCACAGGACAUUGAGUAGGCAGCCAGCCCAGCGGGGCUGAGAAAGUAGCCUUAGCUGGGGGCAGCUCCUUGGAGCGCUGGGUUUUCCAAACAGCUAAGAAGGCUGGUAGGCCACCACCUUCCCUGUGCCAGCUAGUUUUAUGUUCAGCUUCACACAGGCUAGAGUCACUCGGGAAAGGGGAACCUCACUUGAGAAGAUGCCCCUACUAGACUGGCCUGUGGUGAGUUCUCGUAGUUAGUGAUUGAUGUGGGGAGGGGGCCCAGCUCAUUGUGUGUGGUGCAACCCCUGGGCUGGUGGUCCUGGAUGCCCUAAGAAAGCAGGAUGUAUGAGCCACAAGGAGCAAGCAAGUAAGGAACACAGAACCCAGGAAACAUGGCUUUUGGGCAGAAACCAGGGGCCCAGAGCAGAGACAUAGAGGAGCUGGCCUGCUGCCAGGGAAAAAAAAGUGCCAAGAAUUGGGAGAAAACUUCAAGAUAUGGAUAAUAUAUCUUGGAGCAAAAGAUCCCUUUCUCUCCUCCAUCCUCCCAAACCCAGCCCUGAAACAGCCCCAAAGAACGUCUUCCAUCCCUUUGCUGGGCAGGAUGAAUGACAACUGACUCCCCCUUUUCUCAUCAAGGUACUUAGGAGGCCCUUUCUCUCCCUACAGGUGCACGCACAUACACGCACACACACGCGCGCGCACACACACACGCGCGUGUGGAAACUGGUGCUGGAGAAGCUGGAACGGGUCCAGCACUCAGACACAGCCUUGGCAGCUCCAGGGAACAGAAAUGCCAGUGAAUGGCAGCUCUGGAGUCGGGAGGGAGCUGGCUCUGAGGAUCCCUAUCCAGGCCCCACUUGGUCUUUGGGGCUGUCACUAAGUGGUGGCCACAGCUCUGGACCCAAGAGGAUACUGCAGCUCCCUGAUGUAGCGCUGCACGGCUUCCAGGCGCUCGGGGAUGGGCGUCGUCGGCUGGAAAGUAGGCACACUUGGUAUGGGAAUCUAGGGACAGAUGGAGGAAAAAAAGCUCUGUCACAUGGAUAGGCACACCCCGGAGCCUCCAGCGCCCCCAGAGCAACAGCCAGGGGAGGCUCCUACUCUGAGCCGCCUUCCCUGGGAACCCUUCUUUCCCAAGCCUCCUCCCAGGCCUCCAGCUUAGCCAUCCCUGAUACCUGAUUGUACCUCUAAUGUGGAACUUAGGUUGACUUUGCAAUUUUAUGCUGUUAAAUCGUUUUAGAAAAAAAACAGGAGGAUCCACUGACUGUAUUAAAUUUAAAAUAUGCAUUAAUUGAUGCUUAACAAGAAUGUCCGUAUUGGGGCUAAUUUGUUUGGGUUUGGGGGUUCACUCUGGUCUAUGGCUCGGAUGUGGCAAAGGUGUUAGACACUUUGUCCCUGGGUAGGUUCUAGAUAGAAGUAUUAGGGUACUGCAGGCACACCCUUGGAAAGGCAGAAGGCAGUUCUCAGGGUUGUCAUCAAAGGGGCGGAACCAGCUCCUCCUUCCUAUGGCCUCUUGUUUCCAGUGUGAUCUGCCUCCCCAUGCUCCUGCCAGGAUGCCAUCCACUGACAUCAGACCUUCCCACAGUCUCAACCAACACAGGCCCCUCCAGUCCCCAAAGCUGCAAGCUAAAUAAACCUCAUUUCUUCCUAA